GCCGCUAAACACGUCGAACUUUUCUCUCCCCUUGAUCCCCUGGCCAGUAAACCGUCUGUCACGUGACCGCGAACUUUCCCUCUCCCACGUCUGGAUACCGGUUUAGAAUAACCCGAAGCUCCGACGUUCGCACCAUUCGCAAGUUCGAUCCCGAGUUGUUCGCGCUCGAUUCCUCAUCCCUUGGAAACACCACCGAGCACCGACGCGGAACAUUUCUUCCACGAUGGAAGUCGCCAAAGUAAACGAAUCCGCCGACAGUCUGAUCGCACAGUCGUUGAACGUCUCGUCGGAGUCAACGUCCGUUUCGACGAUGAAGUCCGUGCAAAGUGUCCAGUCCAAGUCGGUGAUCGAGUCGUCCUCGUCGAUAAAAUCCGUGACCUCGUCGUCGACCAGGUCCCAGCAGUCGAUGGAGUUCGAGGAGACGAUCGAGUACAGCGACUAGAAGAGAAGCAACAACAGAAACCCUUUCUCGACGCCGUGCCACGCAGGGGAGGCUAGAACGCGGUAUUUCUAACUCGACUCCAGCAACGGACGAUCCACCGCCACCGUUUAUUUUACGCGCUCCGUUCGAACAUGCGGGCUUCGAGAGGAACGGCUGCAACAGUUUGGAAGGUUGUUCAACCUCUGAUUCCAGAUACGUCGAGCCACGGAUCCUUUGUUCGCAUUCAGCGUUUUCGUACGAAAGGAGCCGGGAAGAACGAACGCGAGGCAAAACGUUUACCAUAGGACGAUGUAUACCAGACUCCCUCGGUUUUACCUCUCCACAGCCCCGACCAGAUAAAAUUUUUGAAAAGACUCAUGGAUCGAAGACGUACGCAGAGUCGAGUCGAACGACCGAUCGACGGGUCAAGGCGUCCAGUAAUCGGGGUGCGAUACAGAAAUAACCAGCGGCAUUCUGUGCUGCGUGACAAUGAGAAAAAGAAGAAGAAGAAAACGAGGGAACGUUUUGGAAGCCUUCGGCCACGAGCUGGCUCUCCUCCAAUCGGCGUGGUUCACCGCCAAUUACCUUCUCUUCCUAGGAUUCACACCUCAAUCGACUCUUCGAUCCUCCUUUGAACGCGUAAACCUCUACAUCACUGUCACGUAUUCGAUCCCAGACUUCGUUGCGGGUAUUCGAUAAUCUUUGUAUAAUAAAGUUUCUAAGAUA